rnacentral:tRNA from 1 species
CUAAGGAUUUUAACGGAACCUACACAGUCGUUCUUCUUUUGUUCAGUUUUGAGAGGUUAAUACUUUUUUUAUUUAAUCUUCUUUAACGGGGCCUUAGCUCAGCUGGGAGAGCGCCUGCCUUGCACGCAGGAGGUCAGCGGUUCGAUCCCGCUAGGCUCCAUUGCGAUGUUAUUCGCAAUUUUUUGUUCUUUGAAAACUGGAUAUUGUUUAAUUGUAAAAAUUGUAAGAAACCGAGAAACACACCGCGUUUGUAAGAGUUUGACACGGAUUCCCAUCUGUUUAGAUGAGUGAAUUCGCAUUAACACGACCAUAG